AUUUUGGGUGGGGAUCAGACUGU
rnacentral:piRNA from 1 species